UAAGGAAUAUUGCCCAAUGGACGAAAGUCUGAGGCAGCAACGCCGCGUGGAGGAUGACGGCCUUCGGGUUGUAAACUCCUUUUGUCGGGGACGAGGAAGGACGGUACCCGGCGAAGAAGUCACGGCCAACUACGUGCCAGCAGCCGCGGUAAAACGUAGGUGACGAGCGUUAUCCGGAUUUACUGGGCGUAAAGCGUGUGCAGGCGGUGGCUCAAGUGGUGUGUGAAAGCGCCCGGCUUAACCGGGCGAGGUCAGGCCAGACUGAGCCACUGGAGGCUGGGAGAGGGACAUGGAAUUCCGGGUGUAGUGGUGAAAUGCGUAGAGAUCCGGAGGAACUCCAGAGGCGAAGGCGGUGUCCUGGCCCAGACCUGACGCUCAGACACGAAAGCAUGGGGAGCGAACGGG
rnacentral:rRNA from 1 species